rnacentral:rRNA from 1 species
GACGGAGGAUGCAAGCGUUAUCCGGAAUGAUUGGGCGUAAAGCGUCCGCAGGUGGCAGUUCAAGUCUGCUGUCAAAGACCGGGGCUUAACUUCGGAAAGGCAGUGGAAACUGAACAGCUAGAGUAUGGUAGGGGCAGAGGGAAUUCCUGGUGUAGCGGUGAAAUGCGCAGAUAUCAGGAGGAACACCGAUGGCGAAGGCAGCUUGCUGGGACGGUACUGACGCUGAGACGCGAAAGCGUGGGGAGCAAACAGG